UGCGGCCCACGUGGUGCGGCGGCGCGUUGGCCCGGGCGCCUGGCCUCGCGCCCCCGCCCAUUGUGUGCUGGCCCCGGGGCUUCACCCGCGGCCGGCGGCUGCCCCCGCCCCGCCCCGCCUGUGCGCGCGGGCCGUGCCCUCCGUCGGGAAGCUCCGGUGGCUGCCUCCGCACGCUCUGACGGCCCGUCUGGGGGCUGGCCCGGGACCCUGCGCCCGGCCCGCUGCGCUGCCUGCUGUCGCUUAGCAUUUUGUACUCCAGACCUGGCAGGGCCCCCGGAGGCCUGCUCCGCUUGGCCCCACUCCGACACUCUCUUCCUGGGCAAAGGGUCGCUUGCCUACACCAAAGUAAGGGCCACCUCAUCCAGGACCCCCGCACCCCCAACUGGGCACUUGCUGAGAAUGCACAGGGACGAAAGGCCCCGAAGGGGUGAGGAUCCGAGCGUGCGAGGCGAUGGCCGUGCAGCUAGGAAUCCCGCCUUCUAGGGUCUGUCUACUCGCGGCUUCGGUGUUGGUGGGUGGCGCUGUUGAGAUCAUAGUGUAGGUUGCUGAACUAGCAAGAGUCGGCGCAUCUCGCUUUUGCAGAGGUCAUCGCGCUGGGAAAGAAUUCAACACCGACUUGAAUUUCAUCUAGCUAUAGCAAAGCGUGGAUAUGCAAUGGGAAUUAAUUACACUGGUGGCUUCUCAGAUCCGCUCCUGUGUGACUCUCAGUUAGCAUCUGUGUUGAGCCACCGCAAGGCUUCCAUUACAAGCGUGUUACUCUGGGUCAGAGACUCUCCAAACAAGUGAAUCAGUAUGAGAAAAAUGGACAUUGACUCGUGGAGUUCUCCAUCUACACACGAUAAACAUAACGAAACAAAGCACUGACGAUGCUCUCUUUGUAACCAAAACUACAGCCCACUAGCGCUAAAAGUGUGUGGACUUGGCAAAAUAAUGGGAAGAAAACUGUUUAAAAAGAUCUCAAAUGUAUCAGACAAACGAUGGGAAUGUUUGGAUAAGAAGGAUGCUUCAAGUCUGUCUCCUCGGUCUGCCUCAUUGCUCUGGAAAAAGAUUAUAAUUCUGAACGGAAGUGGUAAGAGUACCUGAUCUUUUGUUCCGGAUUGUAGGAGGAAAACAUCCAACCUCUGGCCAUCGAGUAUGAGGUUAACUGUGGGUUUUUCAUAAUGCCCUGUACCAGAUUAAGACAGUUCUCUUUUUGAUGGUUUUGUUGUUGUUAUUGUUUGUUUUUAAGUAGGCUCUACCCCCAGUGUGGGGCUAAACUCAUGACCCUAACUAAGAUUAGGAGUCUCAAGCUUUUACCAACUCGGCCAGCCAAGUACUGCCUGUUGCUGGUUCUUGAGUGACUUACCAUGAAGGGAUAUUGAAUUUUGUCAAAUGCUUUUUCUGUGGGUUUUUUUUUUUUUGAGGCUUUGUCCUUUAUUCUAUUGAUGUAGUAUAUUACAUUAAUUGAUUUUGGGGUGUUAAAGCAACCUUGUAUUCCUGGGAUAAAUCCCACUUGGUCAUGGUGUAGAAUCCUCUUUAUUUAUUGCUGGGUUUGAUUUGCUAGUCUUUUGUUGAGGAUUUUGGUAUCUGUAAUCAUAAGAGAUAUUGAUCUGUGGUUUUCUUAUAUCUUUGGUUUCAUAUGCUUUAUUUUACUUUCAAGAUUUUUUAAAGAAGAUUU